GAUAAACGCUGGCGGCGUGCUUUAUGCAUGUAAGUCGUACGGUUUCGAUUUAUCGGAAUAGUGGCGAAUGGGUGAGUAACGCGUAAGUAACUUGCCCCUAAGUAGGGGAUAACUCCGGGAAACCGGGGCUAAUACCGUAUGUGGUGAUAAGGGUAAUGCUUUAUCACUAAAGCCUUCGGGCGCUUGGGGAGAGGCUUGCGUCCGAUUAGCUAGUUGGUAGGGUAACGGUCUACCAAGGCGGUGAUCGGUAGCUGGUCUGAGAGGAUGGUCAGCCACACUGGGACUGAGACACGGCCCAGACACCUACGGGAGGCAG
rnacentral:rRNA from 1 species